AAUCACUUUCUAGAAAAAAACAGCGAUGAACCAAAAACACGAAAUCUGGACAAUGACAGUGUCAAGUGCAAGGAUUCAGCCCCUCGAGUUCUGCCAAAAGAAGGCACUUACAUACAAUGUCAAUAUGACAAUGGUACAACACUUACCCAAGUAACUUACACAGUCAGAUCAACGAUUCACUCAUUCUGUAGGCUUGUGGCCAGAGUGCACUUCGCACAAAGGUCUGAGACUUCAGGGAGUAUAUUCCUGCCCCUCUACCCUCCUCCAAAUAUAAAUAAUAUGGCUUUUGCAUGACAUGGUUCAAGUCCAUGACGUGUUGCGUCUUUACAAUUGAACUGAUUCUCCGGGUCCUAGGGGUCUCUUAUAAUAAUAUCUUUAUCUGUCCUGCUGAGACUUCAGGGAGUAUAUUCCUGCCCCUCUACCCUCCUCCAAAUAUAAAUAAUAUGGCUUUUGCAUGACAUGGUUCAAGUCCAUGACGUGUUGCGUCUUUACAAUUGAACUGAUUCUCCGGGUCCUAGGGGUCUCUUAUAAUAAUAUCUUUAUCUGUCCUG
rnacentral:misc_RNA from 1 species